ACUCAGGGAUAGCUCAAUCGGUAAAGCAUGAGACUCUUAAUCUAAGGGUUGUGAGUUUGAGCCCGAUGCUGGGCA